AACGAACGCUGGCGGCAUGCCUAACACAUGCAAGUCGAACGAGACCUUCGGGUCUAGUGGCGCACGGGUGCGUAACGCGUGGGAAUCUGCCCUUGGGUUCGGAAUAACAGUUAGAAAUGACUGCUAAUACCGGAUGAUGUCUUCGGACCAAAGAUUUAUCGCCCAAGGAUGAGCCCGCGUAGGAUUAGGUAGUUGGUGGGGUAAUGGCCCACCAAGCCGACGAUCCUUAGCUGGUCUGAGAGGAUGAUCAGCCACACUGGGACUGAGACACGGCCCAGACUCCUACGGGAGGCAGCAGUGGGGAAUAUUGGACAAUGGGCGAAAGCCUGAUCCAGCAAUGCCGCGUGAGUGAUGAAGGCCUUAGGGUUGUAAAGCUCUUUUACCAGGGAUGAUAAUGACAGUACCUGGAGAAUAAGCUCCGGCUAACUCCGUG
rnacentral:rRNA from 1 species